AAAGAAAGUCUAGUUUGGUGGUCAUUGUUACCAAGCUCGAAGAAAAGCUUUUUUUGUUUCAAAAAACCAACUCAAGAAUUUCCGUCGCAAAACAGCUUGACGGUAUCAAGAACUCUAAGGAUUUUGGCAUCUACCUACUACCUUCAAAGGUAGAAAGCUUAUGUGUGGUAGUGGCAUAUCCUUGCCAAUGUGGACUUGUCAAUUUAGCGAACUGUUAGAAGAGAAGGGGCUAAGAAUACAACCUUGCCUUACGCCUGAUUCCACGUGAAACCAGUCUGAAAUGCCUGUUUCCACGCACACUGAUGAGAUGCUUUUGUCGUAAACAGACAUAAUUAUAUGAAUUAAUUUAGAAUAUUGUUGUAAGAUUUGGUGAAGGCUUAUCGGAACCUGUCCACAGACGAUCUGCUAAACCUCAGGGUUCUCAUUCUGGUGCGAUUUUAUUUAUUUUUUAAUAACGUCACCUCUGCUCUCAUUAGUUUUUCAUUCUCACUUAUGGAAGAGGUGGCGGAUGGACUACCUCACCAGUUUACAACCACGCCCAAAAUGGACUGCCAACCAUCCUAAUCUAGAACCAGGCACCCUCGUUCUAAUAAAGGAUUCGGCUUCCCCUCCUUUAUCUUGGCCAACUGCUCGAGUGGUCGAACAGUAUCCUGGGGAAGAUGGCAUUGUAAGAGUUGUCAAACUAAAAACACCUACCGGCCAGUAUGUGAGACCUGUUUCCCGCCUUGUACCUCUUUUUCCGCAGCCUGAUUCUGAGCACGUUGAAAAGAGGCAUGAGAACAGUUCACAUUCAAUAAAAAUUUUUCCUUAUUUUUGUUUGUAAAAAUUUGGUGGGCGGAAUGUUGACGCCCCAAGAAGCUUUCAUUUUUUUUGUUGUUUUCGGCUGACCAAGGUUCGCCUCGGAGGCCCUGUUUAACUCGCUGAGGCCCCAUUGUUUUUAUUUUGGCAAGCGAUAACGCCGGUGUCUUCGGCCUUUGCACGGGAGCAAGUUAGUCUCUCGCUUGCCUGGGUCAGCACAAGACGCACCGUUCACCAUAUCGAUUAUCGAACCUUAUAUCGAUUCCCUUUGGCCAUUCA